rnacentral:rRNA from 1 species
ACCUGACUGCUAUCGGAUUGGUACUAAGCCAUGUGAGUCAUUGUAGCAAUACAAGGCAUACGGCUCAGUAACACGUAGUCAAUCUGCCCUAUGGACGUGGAUAACCUCGGGAAACUGAGAAUAAUCCGCGAUAGAUCAUAAUGCCUGGAACGGUUUAUGGUCCAAAUGAUUCGUCGCCAUAGGAUGGGACUGCGGCCUAUCAGCUUGUUGGUGAGGUAAUGGCCCACCAAGGCUAUUACAGGUACGGGCUCUGAGAGGAGAAGCCCGGAGAUGGGUACUGAGACACGGACCCAGGCCCUAUGGGGCGCAGCAGGCGAGAAACCUUUGCAAUGUGCGCAAGCACGACAAGGUUAAUCCGAGUGUUUCCUGCUAAAGGAAUCUUUUGUUAGUUCUAAAACCACUGAUGAAUAAGGGGUGGGCAAGUUCUGGUGUCAGCCGCCGCGGUAAAACCAGCACCUCAAGUGGUCAGGAGGAUUAUUGGGCCUAAAGCAUCCGUAGCCGGUUCUGUAAGUUUCCGGUUAAAUCCACUAGCUCAACUAAUGGGCUGCCGGAAAUACUGCAGAACUAGGGAGUGGGAGAGGUAGACGGUACUCGGGAGGAAGGGGUAAAAUCCUUUGAUCUCUUGAUGACCACCUGUGGCGAAGGCGGUCUACCAGAACACGUUCGACGGUGAGGGAUGAAAGCUGGGGGAGCAAACCGGAUUAGAUACCCGGGUAGUCCCAGCUGUAAACGAUGCAGACUCGGUGAUGCACUGGCUUUUGGCCAGUGCAGUGCCGCAGGGAAGCCGUUAAGUUUGCCGCCUGGGAAGUACGUACGCAAGUAUGAAACUUAAAGGAAUUGGCGGGGGAGCACCACAAGGGGUGAAGCCUGCGGUUCAAUUGGAGUCAACCGCCGGAAC